rnacentral:lncRNA from 1 species
AGAAAGAACAAUUCUUAGUUGCAAAUUGAUAGAGUCAUAGAAUAUUAAAUCAUAGAAUUUCCGGAUCUAGCGCAAGUAGUCGAUGCACAUCACAUGUGAAUUAACAAUAGAAAUUACUAAUAUCGGUUGUUUCAAAAACAAAACAAAAAAUGAUAAACCCUAGAGUACUGAAUUCUAUUCCUACAUUACAAAAUCUACUUACAAUAGACUAGAACAGACAAGAGAUGGUACAUUACUUCAAAAAUAAUAAAUACAAGAGAUGGUACAAUUACAAACAUGCAUCUCAUUCACUCAUUCAUUCAUUGAUACCUUUCUGAAAGUACAAACAAAGAGUUACCUCUCUUUGAAGGAACGAU